UACGGAGGGUGCAAGCGUUGUCCGGAUUUAUUGGGUUUAAAGGGUGCGUAGGCGGCCUGGUAAGUCGGCGGUGAAAGCCCGGGCUCAACCCCGGAACUGCCAUCGAUACUGUCAGGCUUGAGUACAGGCGAGGUUGGCGGAAUGGGCGGUGUAGCGGUGAAAUGCAUAGAUACCGUCCAGAACCCCGAUUGCGAAGGCAGCUGACUAGGCUGUAACUGACGCUGAGGCACGAAAGCGUGGGGAGCGAACAGG
rnacentral:rRNA from 1 species